rnacentral:rRNA from 1 species
AGAGUUUGAUCAUGGCUCAGGAAUCAACGCUGGCGGCUGUCGCCUCACACAUGCAAGUCGAACGCGAAAGUGGAGCAAUCCAUGCAGUAGAGUGUGCGAACGGGUGAGUAACACGUGGGUGACCUACCUUCGAAUGGGGGAUAACGUCCCGAAAGGGACGCUAAUACCGCAUAACAUCCUGCUUUUGAACAGGUGGAGAUCAAAGCCGGGGAUCGCAAGACCUGGCGUUUGAAGAGGGGCCCGCGUCUGAUUAGCUAGUUGGUGAGGUAACGGCCCACCAAGGCGACGAUCAGUAUCCGGCCUGAGAGGGCGGACGGACACACUGGGACUGAGACACGGCCCAGACUCCUACGGGAGGCAGCAGUGGGGAAUUGUUCACAAUGGGCGCAAGCCUGAUGACGCAACGCCGCGUGGAGGAUGAAGGUCUUCGGAUUGUAAACUCCUGUUGCUCGGGACGAAAAGCUUCGACCUAAUACGUCGAAGUCUGACGGUACCGGGUGAGGAAGCCCCGGCUAACUCUGUGCCAGCAGCCGCGGUAAUACAGAGGGGGCAAGCGUUGUUCGGAAUUACUGGGCGUAAAGGGCGCGUAGGCGGCCAUCUAAGUCAGACGUGAAAUCCCCGGGCUCAACCCGGGAACUGCGUCUGAUACUGGAUGGCUUGAAUCCGGGAGAGGGAUGUGGAAUUCCAGGUGUAGCGGUGAAAUGCGUAGAUAUCUGGAGGAACACCGGUGGCGAAGGCGGCAUCCUGGACCGGUAUUGACGCUGAGGCGCGAAAGCCAGGGGAGCAAACGGGAUUAGAUACCCCCGUAGUCC